rnacentral:rRNA from 1 species
UACGUAGGGGGCAAGCGUUGUCUGGAAUCAUUGGGCGUAAAGAGCGCGUAGGCGGCCCUGUAAGUCCGCUGUGAAAGUCAAGGGCUCAACCCUUGGAUGCCGGUGGAUACUGCAGGGCUAGAGUCCGGAAGAGGCGAGUGGAAUCCUGGUGUAGCGGUGAAAAUGCGCAGAUAUCAGGAGGAACACCGAUGGCGAAGGCGCUCGCUGGGACGGUACUGACGCUGAGGCGACGAAAGCGUGGGGAGCAAACAGG